CGAGGAGGCGUACGGCGCGACUCCCCGAGCGGGCGGGCGGCAGCGCUGUCUACCUCCUCGGGUAGGCCACGCGCCGCUGGGACCGCCGUUAGUCGUUCUGUGUAUGGACGACUACGUCGGAAAUGUAGUGACCGGUACCUUAGGGACUUUACCUCUUGUUCGAAACACGACAUUAAGACCACCUGGCGCAUCUUCAGAAGCUGCCGGUUACUUUACGACCAAGCACUGUGAAAAGGGUGGUCGCUCGGGUCUAGCUCCUAGUGAGGG
rnacentral:rRNA from 1 species